ACAAGUGAGAAUGCCGGUAUGAGUAACGAAAAGAUCAGUGAGAAUCUGAUCCGCCGAAAGCCCAAGGUUUCCUGAGGAAGGCUCGUCCGCUCAGGGUAAGUCGGGACCUAAGGCGAGGCCGACAGGCGUAGUCGAAGGACAACAGUUUGAAAUUACUGUACCACCGUAAUCCGCUAUGAGCGAUGGGGUGACGCAGGAGG
rnacentral:rRNA from 1 species